rnacentral:rRNA from 1 species
UGGGCAACCUGCCCUGAAGUUGGGGAUAACUCGCCGAAAGGUGGGCUAAUACCGAAUGUGGUCAUCCCGCGCAUGCGGGAUUAUCCAAAGCCGGGGACCGCAAGGCCUGGCGCUUCAGGAUGGACCCGUGUCCUAUCAGCUAGUUGGUGAGGUAACGGCUUACCAAGGCUACGACGGGUAGCUGGUCUGAGAGGAUGGUCAGCCACACUGGGACUGAGACACUGCCCAGACUCCUACGGGAGGCUGCAGUCGAGGAUCAUUCGCAAUGCGCGAAAGCGUGACGGUGCGACGCCGCGUGCAGGAUGAAGGCCUUCGGGUCGUAAACUGCAGUCAUGAGGGAACAAUGGCCCAGAUGUCAACACCAUUUGGGACUGAUAGUACCUCAGGAGGAAGCCACGGCUAACUCUGUGCCAGCAGCCGCGGUAAUACAGAGGCGGCAAGCGUUGUUCGGAUUUACUGGGCGUAAAGGGUGCGUAGGCGGUUUCGUGUGUCGGAUGUGAAAGCUCACGGCUCAACCGUGGAACGGCAUCCGAAACUACGAGGCUGGAGUGCAGGAGAGGAGAGCGGAAUUCUCGGUGUAGCGGUGAAAUGCGUAGAUAUCGAGAGGAACACCGGUGGCGAAGGCGGCUCUCUGGACUGCUACUGACGCUGAGGCACGAAAGCUGGGGGAGCAAACAGGAUUAGAUACCCUGGUAGUCCCAGCCCUAAACGGUGUGCACUUGAUGUGGGAGGAAUUAUCCCCUUCCGUGUCGAAGCUAACGCGAUAAGUGCACCGCCUGGGGAGUACGGUCGCAAGAUUAAAACUCAAAGGAAUUGACGGGGGCCCGCACAAGCGGUGGAGCAUGUGGCUUAAUUCGAUGCAACGCGAAGAACCUUACCAGGGCUUGCCAUGCAUUGUGUCGCCGGCGAAAGCCGGCUAGGGUAGCAAUACCCGCUUUGCACAGGUGCUGCAUGGCUGUCGUCAGCUCGUGCCGUGAGGUGUUGGGUUAAGUCCCGCAACGAGCGCAACCCUUGUACUUAGUUGCCACUUUGGCCGAAAGGCCGAAAGCACUCUAGGUAGACUGCCUGUGAUAAGCAGGAGGAAGGUGGGGAUGACGUCAAGUCAGUAUGGUCCUUAUGUCCUGGGCUGCACACGUGCUACAAUGAUCGGUACAGAAGGAUGCUAAGCCGCGAGGUGGAGCAAAUCCCCAAAACCGAUCACAGUUCAGAUUGGAGUCUGCAACUCGACUCCAUGAAGCCGGAAUCGCUAGUAAUGGCGCAUCAGCUACGGCGCCGUGAAUACGUUCCCGGGCCUUGUACACACCGCCCGUCACAUCAUGGGAGUCGAUUGUACCCGAAGUCACCUAUCCAACCCGCAAGGGGGACGAGUGCCUAAGGUACGAUGGAUGACUGGGAUGAAGUCGUAACAAGGUA